rnacentral:rRNA from 1 species
UACGUAGGGGGCGAGCGUUGUCCGGAGUUACUGGGCGUAAAGCGCUUGUAGGCGGUCCACCAAGUUUGGGGUGACAGUUGCCGACUUAAUCGGCAAAGUGCCUCAAAGACUGGCGGACUUGAGGGCCACAGAGGGACAUGGAACUCCAGGUGUAGUGGUGAAAUGCAUAGAUAUUACUUAGAACACCAAUUGCGAAGGCAGGUUACUAAGCAACAACUGACGCUGAUGGACGAAAGCGUGGGGAGCGAACAGG